rnacentral:lncRNA from 1 species
CGCCGUUGCCCACGCGCUGCUCGCCGUCGUGCGCUGCUCCCUCUCGAUCUCCUCGCGCCCCUACCCCCGGGCGUGGUUCCUGCCGACACCGCCCGCGGACGUCCUUCUUCUCGCGGCCCGGCUCGGCUCUGCCUCCACUGGGGCUUUGGAUCUCGGCCACCGCUCCUCGUGAGUCCCUUCUCUGGGGGUCAUUGUAUUUUUUCUCGGCAUAGCUGAAUUAUGCUUAGUUGUAGUAGUAUUUUUUCUCUGUUCUUUCUGAGGGUCAUUGUUAGUUUAACAUUAGAUCCGAAUACUAUGUUUUACUGUUACUUAAAUGUGCUCAUGUUUAAAACAGUUCAGCUAUGAUGUGCUCAUGUUUAAAUCGCUUGUGAGGUAAAUUUAGGGUUCAGUGAGGUAAAUUUAGGGUAAAUUUAAUUGUUCGCUUGUGUUUGUGUGAUAUCUGUGGUUGCCGGCCAUCGAGCCGUUUGUUUUUGUAGGUUUGGAAAACCUCACCCUGCAGGGGAGGUGCUGCCGAAAUUUUGAAUUGAUGAUCGUGU